rnacentral:rRNA from 1 species
UACGAAGGGGGCUAGCGUUGCUCGGAAUUACUGGGCGUAAAGCGCACGUAGGCGGACUCUUAAGUCGGGGGUGAAAGCCCAGGGCUCAACCCUGGAACUGCCUUCGAUACUGGAGUCUUGAGUGUGGAAGAGGUUGGUGGAACUGCGAGUGUAGAGGUGAAAUUCGUAGAUAUUCGCAAGAACACCAGUGGCGAAGGCGGCUCACUGGCCCGGUACUGACGCUGAGGCACGAAAGCGUGGGAGCAACAGG